CAGUCGCCACGGUAAUACGUAGGUGGCAAGCGUUGUCCGGAAUUAUUGGGCGUAAAGGGCUCGCAGGCGGCUUGGUAAGUUAGAGGUGAAAGCCUGGAGCUCAACUCCAGAAUUGCCUUUAAGACUGCCGAGCUAGUAGGUGAGAGAGGUAAGUGGAAUUCCGAGUGUAGAGGUGAAAUGCGCAGAGAUAUGGAGGAACACCAGUGGCGAAGGCGGCUCACUGGACAAUAACUGACGCUGAUGCACGAAAGCUAGGGGAGCAAACAGGAUUAGAUACCCGGGUAGUCCCUGUCUCUUAUAA
rnacentral:rRNA from 1 species